rnacentral:rRNA from 1 species
ACUGCGAAUGGCUCAUUAAAACAGUUAUAGUUUAUUUGAUAAUCAAAUUUACAUGGAUAACCGUGGUAAUUCUAGAGCUAAUACAUGCUGUUAAGCCUGACUUCUAGGAAGGGCUGUAUUUAUUAGAUAACAAACCAAUAUUCCUCGUGUCUAUUGUGCUGACUCAUAAUAACUGAUCGAAUCGCAUGGGCCUUGCCCGCGAUACAUCAUUCAAGUUUCUGCCCCAUCAGCUUUCGAUGGUAGUGUAUUGGACUACCAUGGCUUUAACGGGUAACGGAGGAUUAGGGUUCGAUUCCGGAGAGGGAGCCUGAGAAACGGCUACCACAUCUAAGGAAGGCAGCAGGCGCGUAAAUUACCCAAUCCUGAUUCAGGGAGGUAGUGACAAGAAAUAACGGACCGGAGCCUAUGUUCCGGGAUUGCAAUGAGUAGAAUUUAAAC